CAGUUGGAGGGAACGGUGAUUCCAGUGCAGCUGACAACAUCUACAGUAAAGUCGCAGAGACACAGAACGAUCAAGCAAACCCAGGCACAGCCACAGAGGGGAACCCAGGCACAGCCAUGGAGGGGAACGAGAGUGAAGAACUCAAUUACCUGGCCUUCUCCCAGACCGCUCCCCAUCUCAACCCACACAGACAACGGAGGCGGUCUCGUUCUGAACUGGAAGAAAAUGAUAAAGUGGUCUAUGCAAGCAUCAACAACGCGUGAUAUGCUGCAAUCAAAUCGAUCAACGAAACAAAAAGUCCACAUAAUAAACUGCAUCUCAUGUCUGUACAGUGUACAUCCAUUCGGGAUGGAAGAAGCCAUCUG